UGGGGAAUAUUGGACAAUGGGCGAAAGCCUGAUCCAGCCAUGCCGCGUGUGUGAAGAAGGUCUUCGGAUUGUAAAGCACUUUAAGUUGGGAGGAAGGGCAUUAACCUAAUACGUAGUGUUUUGACGUUACCGACAGAAUAAGCACCGGCUAACUCUGUGCCAGCAGCCGCGGUAAUACAGAGGGUGCAAGCGUUAAUCGGAAUUACUGGGCGUAAAGCGCGCGUAGGUGGUUUGUUAAGUUGGAUGUGAAAUCCCCGGGCUCAACCUGGGAACUGCAUUCAAAACUGACUGACUAGAGUAUGGUAGAGGGUGGUGGAAUUUCCUGUGUAGCGGUGAAAUGCGUAGAUAUAGGAAGGAACACCAGUGGCGAAGGCGACCACCUGGACUAAUACUGACACUGAGGUGCGAAAGCGUGGGGAGCAAACA
rnacentral:rRNA from 1 species